CGUUUGGGCGCGACAUUAAAGAUGUGACCCUGCAGUAAAAGUAAAAGUGAAUAGCAUUCAUUAUCAUAUGGAUACAUAUACAAGAAGCAGUUUGCAGCUUGUACGUCUCAGUAGCUGCCUGGUAUGAUACCGAAUUCAUAUUUAUGCGACUGAGACAAGUGAAACGUGAACGCAGGAAACAUAAAUAUCAAGUAUAAAUGCAUCAAAUCAAACAUAAAAUAAUAGAAUGCAAACUAACUAGGAUAUUUUAGAUAUAAAGCACGUCAUUAAAUCUAGACUAAAUGUCUAAUUCCAUUAAUGUCAGAGACAACUAACUCAAUUAAGGUUAUCCUCAAAGUCCAAUUUGAAUAGCAAAAGGCCCAAUGGACGUAAAUAAAUAUGUAAUACAGGAGGGACAAAGCUUGCAAAUGGUGUAUUGCUAAGAUGUUAAGAACCAUGCAAUAAAUUAAGAAAGGACAACUCAGAGGACAACGUUAAUUGAAUUUGCUCUAUCCGUUUGUGCUAUCUAGUAUGUUUAUUUUGCUAUAGAAUUAAGCACUUCUUGUGCUGCGUAGGUGAUCGUUCUCCGUGCAGUAGAUCUCGGUCCUGUUCCAGCACCUCCGCCCCUGCCGCCUCCGCGUGUUCGAAUUCCACGUCCACGAGUUCUGUUUGUGUUGACAGGGCCUGCAAUUUCAGCUGUUUCGACUGGCUUUACAGCCCAAGCAGGUGCAUCAUUUGGCGCACGUUUUCUGAAAAGUGCCGAAUGCGUUCUUUUCGUGCGUUCCUUCACGUGGUCUUUCCUCCUCUCGUUUGCCCGAAUGUCCAACGUACGAAAAAACAACCUCGUUCCCAGGCUCUUUGCUCUUGGGAAGCAAAGACCUUGGUCGGAGCUGGUCACGUGACCCAUAGAAAAUUGAUAGCCCAAGUGGGGGAUGGAAAAGUCUCAUAUUACAUGUUUCCACUUCUGCACUUCGCACUUCGAUUGCAAGGAGUGGCCGUUCUAUACAAUCAUCUAAUUCAUCUUCGAGUCUAUCAUAUACACCUCAAACUACUUGCUAAAUUGGUUUCUGUUUGCUUUAAAUUAUACAAACAUGCUAAAAUGCAGAUUCUUAUAGCAACAGAAAAUUCAGGAAAUCAAGCAACGAGAACGUAUGACUGUACGCUUUGAAAUAUUUUUAUUUGCUCGGGGUUCCCCGAUUCGGGCGUAGUUUCAUUUCACGCGUACGUUUCUGUUCUGGCUCUGAUAUUUAUAAUAUGCUUAUAAUAUGCCAAUGAAUUGUUCUGAUAUGGACACGGUGUAAAUUUUGUUAAACAGAUGUCUCAAAAGCGACUGUUUAUAUAGGUCGUAGGAUUAGCGCCUUGCCGGUCUUAAACGUGACACAUUUGGACACAAGCCAAAUACACAUUGAAUGUCCAUUCUAUUGAUUCUAAAACUGUUUAUAGACAUAUUGCUCUAGAUUUUUUUAAAAGGUUAUCAUCGUUUAUAUUAAACACCAGGAAGACAAAAUAUAACGUACAAAAUUGUUUGAAAUCGACAGUUGACAUACGUGACAAUUCACAACUGCAUGAAUUUCCUUUUUUGUCGAUCUGUACGAGUACCUGUUUGUUGAAGCCAAAAUAUUGCACAGCAUAUCCUAUAAAUUCUAUCGCCAUUUACCCUCUCCCCUUAAAUGCAAAGGAAUGACAGCAGAAAAGGAAUGACAGCAGAAAAGGUUUAGCAAAUAUUUCUUAUUACAUCUGGUAUAAAGUGUCCUACGUUUUAUCAGGAUAUACAUAAUUCAUAAACUGUAUAUGCACACAAAGUCUCGCUUAUAUUAAUGAGUUUUACUGUAACAAACCUUUUAAAGUUUCCAUUGAUAGAUAGGUUGUUUGCCUCCAGUAUUGUUGGGUAAAACAGACUAAACUUCUAAAAUGUCGGUUACGGAAUACGAAAAAGUCGAAAAAGAUUAAAGUUGAUUUAAAUAUUGAUAACUCACAGCGGCAUUAAUCCAUUAUACAAGUCUAAAGAAGCUGGAUUAUUCUUCAAUAAAGCCCUCAAUGGACAAUGCCAAUGUCAAUGAAAGGUCUAAUAUUAUACAUGUUGCAAAUUACUGUAUACACAAAAUAUGAAAUAAUUUAUAUAAAGUACAAAUACCAGUGUCUGGUGCAUAUAUCGUCGUAGAUAUUCAAGUUGUACCGCACGCACGGAAACGCACGGAGGAGUCUUGGCGUUUGUGUGAUAACAGAUAGCUAGCUACACUUCGACAUUAUCUUUCUUGAUCGUUGAGUUUCAGUAAUGUAAAUGAAAUGAAUUUUAUAGCCAGUCCAUAACGGUUUUAAUCCUGUGCUUUUACAGUCAAAAUAGCACUAUUGUUUACACAUGUUGGCGAUGUUUGGGAAAUCAAAGGAUCCCGUUAUAAAAUAAAUCUUUUGUUUUGAAUAUCGGACAGGAUACACUUCAACUAUAAAGAACCAUAUCGUUCGUUUAAUACUGUUUGAUUGAUCAGUCUGUGUAGAAGAUAUGUAUGUUUCUACGGCGAUACGUGCCAAACUUCGCAAGCCAGGCGCGUGUAGAGUGUUUUCCUUGCAAGUGAAAUAUGAUCCAGCUUCUCGCUUGAAAUGUAACGCAACACUUAUUAUUGAUGACAUUCGGUACAGCAGGAAGUCUUGUCAUGAUCGGUACGAAUUUAGAACAGUUCCUUUCACAAUCUCUUGUUGCAAAUUACAUUUUUAUCACCCGAAAUUAUAACACAUAAAGUUGCAGUUUUCCAAACGCAACAAACAGACUCCUCUACUACCCCUCCCUGAGGUCAAAUUCAAUUUACCCCCAAAAUCUGGGGGUUCACGUGACCAGCUCCGACCAGGGUCUUUGCUUCCCAAGAGCAAAGAGCCUGGGAACGAGGUUGACGAAAAAACUGGGUGAGAUCAUCCGCCCUCCAAUUUAACUUCAUGUGGCACCAACCUCCAUCAGAAGCAUCCGCGUCCUCAGACAUGUACUCCACUUUAAGGGCCGCUCCAAACUCUUCUUGCUCCUCCUCUGUGGCCACCUUCAACCUCAUUUCCAAUUACUGCAACUU